GAUGAACGCUAGCGGCAGGCCUAAUACAUGCAAGUCGAACGGUAAGUUGAAUAGCAAUAUUUGACCUAGAGUGACGUACGGGUGCGUAACACGUAUGCAACCUACCCUUUACAGGAGGAUAGCUCGGGGAAACUCGAAUUAACCCUCCAUGAGAUCAUAGAGUAGCAUUACUUAGUGAUUAAAACUCCGGUGGUAAAGGAUGGGCAUGCGUCUGAUUAGUUAGUUGGCGGGGUAACGGCCCACCAAGACGAUGAUCAGUAGGGGAACUGAGAGGUUGAUCCCCCACACUGGCACUGAGAUACGGGCCAGACUCCUACGGGAGGCUG
rnacentral:rRNA from 1 species